UCUCUCUUGCUAUUGUCCUUCCAGAACCCUGCGUGGUGGAUGGCGUAGAAGUCCAGGCUGGCUGGGCUGGAGGAAGGGGGAAAAGACACCAAGGAAAGAAAAGGCCAUAUUAUGAUUCGAAAGCAGAUUCUGUGUCACCCCUUGGUGCAGCACACGAGGAUGCUACCCGGAUCACACCGAUCGCGAGCAGGAGUGGGUGGUGAGUAACAGGGCAGCACAGGGCCAUCAGAGCAGUGCUCCAGACCCGCACAGGACAGCAUCCACUUACCAUUACAAUGUGAGGCAGCAGCAACCAGAAGGAGCAAGCUGUGUCCCUGCUAAGGGAAAAUGUAUGGUGUUGGCUUAAAAAAAGAACUUGCUAUGGAGUACCUAGCAGUUUGUUUUCCCUGAAAAUGAGCCAUGGAUAAAGUGAGCCAUGGAUAGUCCAUGAACAGAGCCACCAGUUUGCAAACACAAGAGAGAGAGGCUGACCUGGAAUAAAGCUUCUCUUACCC